GCGUACGUAUAAACAUAUAUGUUUAUAUUUAGAGAUAACUUCAAAAAACCCUCCUGUGGUUUCGCACUUUCUCACUUUAGUACCCUGCGGUUUAAAGUGUAUCAAUUUGCCUCCUUGUGGUUUCGUUUUUCUCUUUUUAUUAUCAAUUUUAUUUUUUUUUCUUAAAUCAAUGACAGAGUUAAAAUUAAAGGGUACUAAAAUAAAUAUUCGAUAAAUCUAGGUAUGUAUUUGAAGUUUUUUGUAUAUAAUUUAACAAAAUAUUAAAAAAAAGCUGCCGAAAAGAUAAAAAUAAAACCACCAGGAACAAAUUGAUACACUUUAAACCACAGGGUACUAAAGUGAGAAAGUGCGAAGCCACAUGAGGGAUUUUUGAAGUUUUCCCUUAUAUUUACUAGUACAAGUGUGCGUGUGUUACACGCUUGGUGCAAAAAAUAAAAUUACAGAUAUAAGAUUUAAGUAGAUAGUUUAAUUGCAAAUUUUAAAAGCUAAUAAAUUUAAUCUGAUUAUAAUCAU
rnacentral:lncRNA from 1 species